rnacentral:sRNA from 1 species
UUAGUAUUAAAAAUAUUUUUUUCUAACAACAUUCUCAACAAUGCAUCAUACACAUAAUUCAUCAACGUAUUUGAAUUACUCCUGUUAAAUCAACAUUUU